rnacentral:rRNA from 1 species
GAUUAACGCUAGCGGCAGGCCUAAUACAUGCAAGUUGUACGGGAUUAUUGGUAGCAAUACUGAUAUGAGAGUAGCGCACGGGUGCGUAACACGUAUGCAACCUACCUUUAACUGGGGAAUAGCUCACCGAAAGGUGAAUUAACACCGCAUAAAAUCACAGAAGGACAUCCUUUAAUGAUUAAAUCUCCGGAGGUUAAAGAUGGGCAUGCGUCCGAUUAGCUAGUUGGCGGGGAAUAGCCCACCAAGGCAACGAUCAGUAGGGGGUC